rnacentral:lncRNA from 1 species
CCAACCACACAGCUGCCUCAGCAAGCGUAGGAGAUGGCACAUUAGAGACCAACAAUUGUCAGCACAGCAAAACUGGGCAUUUCUUUUCUUACUGAGCUUUGCAGCUACCUACACAGUUGUGUGUGGCAUCUCCUCCUGGGCGCAAGGACAUGAGAUGACAUCAGUUACUGUGAUCUCCAGUAAAAUGUUUAAUACAAGUGGAGACAAUAGAUAACCUUUUCCAACUCCUGAUCGGGGGGUGGAAAGUGCUCAGUGUGCUAUUAACUUAAGGCUUUUAUAGAUGUGCUUUAUCAUGUAAAGGCUGUUCCCUCCAAUUCUUUCUAUACUGAGAAAUUUUUUCAAAGAUGUGUUAAAUUUUUUCAACCCAUGUCACAAAUCUGCAUAUGUACUCCCCUAAACCUAAAAUAAAAGUUGGAAAGAAAAAUAAAACUAUUACUUGAAA